rnacentral:rRNA from 1 species
UACAGAGGUGGCAAGCGUUGUUCGGAAUUACUGGGCGUAAAGGGCGCGUAGGCGGUUCGUUAAGUCCUGUGUGAAAUCCCCCGGCUCAACUGGGGAACUGCACAGGAAACUAGCGGGCCUGAGUUCGGGAGAGGGAAGCGGAAUUCCGGGUGUAGCGGUGAAAUGCGUAGAUAUCAGGAGGAACACCAAUGGCGAAGGCAGCUCGCUGGGACGUGACUGACGCUGAGACGCGAAAGCCAGGGGAGCGAACGGG